CUUAAAGGAAUUGACGGGGCCGCACAAGCGGUGGAGUAUGUGGUUUAAUUCGAAGCAACGCGAAGAACCUUACCAGGUCUUGACAUCCCGAUGCUAUUUCUAGAGAUAGAAAGUUACUUCGGUACAUCGGUGACAGGUGGUGCAUGGUUGUCGUCAGCUCGUGUCGUGAGAUGUUGGGUUAAGUCCCGCAACGAGCGCAACCCCUAUUGUUAGUUGCCAUCAUUCAGUUGGGCACUCUAGCGAGACUGCCGGUAAUAAACCGGAGGAAGGUGGGGAUGACGUCAAAUCAUCAUGCCCCUUAUGACCUGGGCUACACACGUGCUACAAUGGUUGGUACAACGAGUUGCGAGUCGGUGACGGCGAGCUAAUCUCUUAAAGCCAAUCUCAGUUCGGAUUGUAGGCUGCAACUCGCCUACAUGAAGUCGGAAUCGCUAGUAAUCGCGGAUCAGCACGCCGCGGUGAAUACGUUCCCGGGCCUU
rnacentral:rRNA from 1 species